GGGUGCGAUCAUACCAGCACUAAUGCACCGGAUCCCAUCAGAACUCUGCAGUUAAGCGUGCUUGGGCAAGAGUAGUACUGGGAUGGGUGACCUCCUGGGAUGUCCUCGUGUUGCACCAC
rnacentral:rRNA from 1 species